rnacentral:rRNA from 1 species
UCCGUAGGUGAGCCUGCGCAAGGAUCAUAG